rnacentral:lncRNA from 1 species
GUUGUCUCAAUGUGAUAGUUAGCUUCCAAAUGUAUGCAUCCUCCUCUUCCAUAAUUAAUGGAGAUUUGAGGGAAAGCGCCUGAGGGCCUAACGACUAUAUUUUACACUGUUAGUGCUUAUUAAAGGUUAAAAAGGCUUAUAGGCAGUUCUAUUCUGGGACAUGUCUCCUAAUUGUAGAGGAUGGGGAGAGUCUCAAGUGUCUAUCUCUUUGCUUUUGGCUAGCAGCAGGUUGCAUUUAUACGUAAUCAUAUCAGGCGAAUGCUAGCAGCAGGUUAUACAGUAUUCAUAGAGAUAGACAUGCAGCCAUUUGAGGAUAAUGCUAGUAGCAGGUUAUACAGUAUUCAUAGAGAUAGACAUGCAGCCAUAUGAGGAUAAUGCUAGCAGCAGGUUAUACAGUAUUCAUAUAGAUGGAGAUGCAGCCAUUUGAGGAUAAUGCUAGCAGCAGGUUAUACAGUAUUCAUAUAGAUAGACAUGCAGCCAUAUGAGGAUAAUGCUAGCAGCAGGUUAUACAGUAUUCAUAUAGAUAGACAUGCAGCCAUUUGAGGAUAAUGCUAGUAGCAGGUUAUACAGUAUUCAUAUAGAUAGACAUGCAGCCAUAUGAGGAUAAUGCUAGCAGCAGGUUAUACAGUAUUCCUAUAGAUGGAGAUGCAGCCAUAUGAGGAUAAUGCUAGCAGCAGGUUAUACAGUAUUCCUAUAGAUGGAGAUGCAGCCAUUUGAGGCUAAUGUUGGUGUAAUAUUAAUGGUAGCAUUGAAUUAUUUGUACACAUUACAUACAGUAUUUUGUACUGAAUGCCUCUGUAUGUCUGAAAACCCUAUCUUCUCACUCUAGAUACAGGUUACAUAUGCCAUUACACCGCAUACUGACCCCAUUCAACACU